rnacentral:rRNA from 1 species
GAGUUGUAAUUUGCAGAGGAUGCUUUUGGCGCGGUGCCUUCCGAGUUCCCUGGAACGGGACGCCAUAGAGGGUGAGAGCCCCGUCUGGUCGGACACCAAGCCAGUGUAAAGCUCCUUCGACGAGUCGAGUAGUUUGGGAAUGCUGCUCUAAAUGGGAGGUAUAUGUCUUCUAAAGCUAAAUACCGGCCAGAGACCGAUAGCGCACAAGUAGAGUGAUCGAAAGAUGAAAAGCACUUUGAAAAGAGGGUUAAACAGUACGUGAAAUUGUUGAAAGGGAAGCGUUUAUGACCAGACUUGGGCCCGGUGAAUCAUCCAGCGUUCUCGCUGGUGCACUUUGCCGGGCUCAGGCCAGCAUCAGUUCGCCGCGGGGGAUAAAGGCUUCGGGAACGUGGCUCCCUCGGGAGUGUUAUAGCCCGUUGCGUAAUACCCUGUGGCGGACUGAGGUUCGCGCUCCGCAAGGAUGCUGGCGUAAUGGUCAUCAGCGACCCGUCUUGAAACCACGG